CCCAAUGACUGCUGGUGCAAUCCUGUGUUUUCCUCAGUAGCUCUGAGCGAGAGCAACCCUCUCUUCACUUCAUUCCUCUAGAAUUUACCUCUGGGGUGUAAUUGAUGUAAUGCUGUUAAGACCUAAGUAGUUGAUUUUUUUACCCCAUCAGAAAAGUGAGUUGGAUGAAGCCUGACUCCGAGUUGUUGAUCUCCAGACAUUAAGUUGAUCUCUAGACAUUUGCGCACAGUGAGGAAAGAGAAGCAAAAUGGGCAGGCUCUGGUCGUGGACUCGAGGGCAGACCACAUGGGGGGAGGAGCCGGCCUUGAGAUGCGUAGGGGCCCCAAGAUUUCUGGUGGAAGCCCUGAAGAGAGGGGAGGGAGAGACUGCACUGCAGCACUGUGGACAUACAGCACUCUUAGAUAAAUAGGAAAGUGAUAUUGAAAACUGAUAGGACGGAGCCCAGGUACGGGGGCCUCCCCCACUGAGGAAUCUUCAGCCCAGACAGAUAAUCUGAAAGGCAAUAAGUACAGAUGCGAUUUUCAAGAGCUGCUGAAGAAUAGGAUAUAAUGUAACCAGAUCAUGCACGGGCGCAAUGUUUCCCAGCCCUUAAAGAGAGAAGACGGGAAAAGAGCAAAGCACCUGAAAUCCCAUCCACACUUGUGUCCUGCUCUCCAUACUACCCGAGAACGAAGGAUUAUUCCUCAAUUAUCACUAAAGACUCUUAACGCUGAAUUGUCACAAAGCAGGGUUCGCAUUUACAGGAUAAUUCCACAGUUGAAGGCUGGGAAGUGGGGCCGGCAUUAUUCAGGUAAAGAUGGCCGCAGUCACUGAUUGCGGGAUGGUGUAUCUGGUUAAUGGUAUUCUUCGCCAUGGACAGUGCAUCUAAAAAAAUAAA